UCCGAGCGUUAUCCGGAUUUAUUGGGUUUAAAGGGAGCGUAGAUGGAUGUUUAAGUCAGUUGUGAAAGUUUGCGGCUCAACCGUAAAAUUGCAGUUGAUACUGGAUAUCUUGAGUGCAGUUGAGGCAGGCGGAAUUCGUGGUGUAGCGGUGAAAUGCUUAGAUAUCACGAAGAACUCCGAUUGCGAAGGCAGCCUGCUAAGCUGCAACUGACAUUGAGGCUCGAAAGUGUGGGUAUCAAACAGGAUUAGAUACCCUGGUAGUCCACACGGUAAACGAUGAAUACUCGCUGUUUGCGAUAUACUGCAAGCGGCCAAGCGAAAGCGUUAAGUAUUCCACCUGGGGAGUACGCCGGCAACGGUGAAACUCAAAGGAAUUGACGGGGGCCCGCACAAGCGGAGGAACAUGUGGUUUAAUUCGAUGAUACGCGAGGAACCUUACCCGGGCUUAAAUUGCAGAUGAAUUACGGUGAAAGCCGUAAGCCGCAAGGCAUCUGUGAAGGUGCUGCAUGGUUGUCGUCAGCUCGUGCCGUGAGGUGUCGGCUUAAGUGCCAUAACGAGCGCAACCCUUGUUGUCAGUUACUAACAGGAUUUGCUGAGGACUCUGACAAGACUGCCAUCGUAAGAUGUGAGGAAGGUGGGGAUGACGUCAAAUCAGCACGGCCCUUACGUCCGGGGCUACACACGUGUUACAAUGGGGGGUACAGAGGGCCGCUACCACGCGAGUGGAUGCCAAUCCCAAAAACCUCUCUCAGUUCGGACUGGAGUCUGCAACCCGACUCCACGAAGCUGGAUUCGCUAGUAAUCGCGCAUCAGCCACGGCGCGGUGAAUACGUUCCCGGGCCUUGCACUCACCGCCCGU
rnacentral:rRNA from 1 species